rnacentral:rRNA from 1 species
GAUGAACGCUAGCUACAGGCUUAACACAUGCAAGUCGAGGGGCAGCGGUAUCGAAAGCUUGCUUUCGGUAGCCGGCGACCGGCGCACGGGUGAGUAACGCGUAUCGAACCUGCCUCAUACUCGGGAAUAGCCUUGCGAAAGUAAGAUUAAUGCCCGGUGUUUUCAGAGUCUCGCAUGAGGCUUUGAACAAAGAUUUAUCGGUAUGAGAUGGCGAUGCGUCCCAUUAGCUUGUUGGUGGGGUAACGGCCCACCAAGGCAUCGAUGGGUAGGGGUUCUGAGAGGAAGGUCCCCCACAUUGGAACUGAGACACGGUCCAAACUCCUACGGGAGGCAGCAGUGAGGAAUAUUGGUCAAUGGGCGGAAGCCCGAACCAGCCAAGUAGCGUGCAGGAAGACGGCCCUCCGGGUUGUAAACUGCUUUUAGUUGGGAAUAAAACGGGGCUCGUGAGCCCCCUUGCAUGUACCAUCAGAAAAAGGACCGGCUAAUUCCGUG